rnacentral:rRNA from 1 species
AUUGAACGCUGGCGGCAUGCUUUACACAUGCAAGUCGAACGAGUGGCGCACGGGUGAGUAAUACAUCGGAACGUGUCCUAUCGUGGGGGAUACCUGAUCGCAAGAUCAGCUAAUCCCGCCUACGCUUGGAGCGGCCGCUGCCCGAUUAGCUAGUUGGUGGGGUAACGGCCACCCAAGGCGACGAUCGGUAUCUGGUCUGAGAGGACGACCAGCCACACGGGGACUGAGACACGACCCAGACUCCUACGGGAGGCAGCAGUGGGGAAGUUUGGACAAUGGGGGCAACCCUGAUCCAGCCAUGCCGCGUGCAUGAUGAAGGUCUUCGGAUUGUAAACUGCUUUUGUCAGGGAAGCGGUACCUGAAGAAUAAGCACCGGCUAACUACGUGCCAGCAGCCGCGGUAAUUC